GCCAGCUGAUGCAUCACGCCGCGUGAGUGAAGAAGGCCCUCUGGGUUGUAAAGCUCUUUCGGCUGGGAAGAAGGGUCUACGUGCUAAUAUCACGUAGAUUUGACGGUACCAGAAGAAGAAGCACCGGCUAACUUCGUGCCAGCAGCCGCGGUAAUACGAAGGAGCAAGCGUUAAUCGGAAUUACUGGGCGUAAAGCGUGCGUAGACGGUUAUUUAAGUCGGAUGUGAAAUCCCCGGGCUCAACCUGGGAAUUGCAUUCGAUACUGAACAGCUAGGGUGCAGAAGAGGGAAGCGGAAUUUCCGGUGUAGCGGUGAAAUGCGUAGAUAUCGGAAGGAACAUCAGUGGCGAAAGCGGCUUCCUGGUCCAGCACCAACGUUCAGGCACGAAAGCGUGGGGAGCAAACAGGAUUAGAUACCCUGGUAGUCCACGCCAUAAACGAUGAGGACUACACGUUGGAAGGGUCAGACUUUCAGUGUCGCAGCUAACGCGAUAAGUCCUCCGCCUGGGGAGUACGGCCGA
rnacentral:rRNA from 1 species